UACAGAGGGUGCGAGCGUUGUCCGGAAUCACUGGGCGUAAAGGGCGCGUAGGCGGCUUGAUAAGCGUGCGGUGAAAGCCCGGGGCUCAACCCCGGGUCGGCCGUGCGAACUGUCGAGCUGGAGCACUGUAGAGGCAGGUGGAAUUCCGGGUGUAGCGGUGGAAUGCGUAGAGAUCCGGAGGAACACCGGUGGCGAAGGCGGCAUUCUGGACCGGCAUUGACGCUGAUGCGCGAAAGCCAGGGGAGCAAACGGG
rnacentral:rRNA from 1 species